CUGGUCUUGAACUCCAGGACUCAAGUGGUCCUCCUGCCUUGGCCUCCCAGAGUACUGGGAUUGCAGGCAUGAGCCACCAUGCCUUGCCAGGACCAGCAUUUUUAAUAUCCCUUUUGGCAGAUCCUGAAACUGGAGUUAACAUUGAACUUGAGUUUAGGUCCUAACUUUGCGACUUACUAGCUAUGUGACCUUGGGAAAGUUUAAUUACUGUCUUUGAACCUCACUUUCGAAGUUUCUUCUGUACAACAGGAGAUAUCUGAGUAUCUUGCUAUUUUUGUGACAAUUAUAUUUGGGAAUUAAUGUAAAGCAUUUAAUGCAAAGCUCAAAAAUUAGCAUUUAGUAAAAUACUGACUUAACAACAAGCAAAUAAUGAACCAGUCAACAAAGAUUAACUGGUGAUAGUCACCUCAAUUAUUUACCUGAGGCCACACACAGUAACUCUUUGGUAAAGGUGGGAUGCGAGCACAGAUCUCUGUCUCUGGACUUAAUGGCCUCCCAUACUCAUUCCACUAGACCAGCCUGCCUACAGGAAACACUAAUGGCAGUAUCCUUUUUAGCAGACCAUCUCCUGGGUUUCUUACAUUUCACCCCAUUUCAUUCAGAGCUAUUUUUUCAGAGCUGUUUUUUUCAGGGCUGUUCCUAUUGUUAGAGAAACGUAACUUGGAGAGUUUUAAUAAUAUACUGAUUACAGGAGCAGAAGGUUUUUUGGAAGCUACUCCAGAAAUUAGGGGUAUUCAGCCCCAGCCCCAGGUAUAGUAAGAGCAGGACAUGAUGGCUGGGGUUUUUAAAAUCUCCAUCUACCCCAGGACUUCUGUGAACGCAUUAGCCCAAAGCAGUCAGAACUUUGUGGCAGUCCUGACCAGACCACCUCAAUUAUUCUGUGCCUCAGUUUCUCCAGCUGCAAAAUGAGGAAAACAGCCCAUCUUCCUUCUCUUUCCUUCUCAGGAAAGUUGUAAAUAGGCUCAUCCUACAUGAUGGAAAAUUUAACUGUACCAUUUUAUAAAAUGCAAGAUUUCUUUUCUGAACAGCGUAACGAUAGCAUAUGAAGUUAUUUGCUCAUGGCAUACCUAGCCAGCUAAUUUUCUUAAUGAACCCAGGCUUUUUUUCUUUUGCAUAGCACCUGAUUGCACAAAGCCAAUAGUUAAACAUUUUGGCAGGUGACGAGUUAAUGAGUAUGAUGGCAGCUAGGUCCAAAUCACAGACAUACCAAAGCACAGGGCCGUUUUGAUAAAUUUUCUUUAACCCAACACAUCUAGCAUCCUGGCCAACCACCCCAUAGGUGCUCACGCUGACUGGAUUGCCGGGGUUACAGGAGCUGAUGUCAUAAUUGGUGUCUGAGCUCUGCCCCACUAAAUGGCCAUGAGAAGCCACUUCAAUUCAGAUUAGGCCACAAGCUCCUUAGUGAGGAGCUGCCAUGCUGGGCCAUCCACCAUCUGGUGUCUAACAAAGACAGCCCAAUUCCUCCGACUCAGGAAUAGAACACUGCACCUUCCAGAAGCACUUGUUUCUUCUUGGGCACACCACUAGCUAAGAAGCCUCGUGAUGAUUGUUGUCUUAUGGAUGCUUCUCAUUGCAGGAACUAUGUGGAAGGGAUAUAAAUAUCCCCCAGGAGGGACCCCAGUGGAAGUAAGCAAGGAUGAUCCUGGUGAAGUAAUGCAGCUCUGAAGCUCACCUGACCAGCUGUACAGUUCCUGUUGUUGGUUUCGCAUAAAGUAAUUGCACAUUAUUUUGUCAUA